UAGGGAAUCUUCGGCAAUGGGGGGAACCCUGACCGAGCAACGCCGCGUGAGUGAAGAAGGUUUUCGGAUCGUAAAGCCCUGUUGUUAAGGAAGAACGAGUGUGAGAAUGGAAAGUUCAUACUGUGACGGUACUUAACCAGAAAGGGACGGCUAACUACGUGCCAGCAGCCGCGGUAAUACGUAGGUCCCGAGCGUUGUCCGGAUUUAUUGGGCGUAAAGCGAGCGCAGGCGGUUAGAUAAGUCUGAAGUUAAAGGCAGUGGCUCAACCAUUGUAGGCUUUGGAAACUGUUUAACUUGAGUGCAGAAGGGGAGAGUGGAAUUCCAUGUGUAACGGUGAAAUGCGUAGAUAUAUGGAGGAACACCGGUGGCGAAAGCGGCUCUCUGGUCUGUAACUGACGCUGAGGCUCGAAAGCGUGGGGAGCGAACAGG
rnacentral:rRNA from 1 species